rnacentral:rRNA from 1 species
CUGGAAACGGUAGCUAAUACCGCAUAACGUCGCAAGACCAAAGAGGGGGACCUUCGGGCCUCUUGCCAUCGGAUGUGCCCAGAUGGGAUUAGCUAGUAGGUGGGGUAACGGCUCACCUAGGCGACGAUCCCUAGCUGGUCUGAGAGGAUGACCAGCCACACUGGAACUGAGACACGGUCCAGACUCCUACGGGAGGCAGCAGUGGGGAAUAUUGCACAAUGGGCGCAAGCCUGAUGCAGCCAUGCCGCGUGUAUGAAGAAGGCCUUCGGGUUGUAAAGUACUUUCAGCGGGGAGGAAGGGAGUAAAGUUAAUACCUUUGCUCAUUGACGUUACCCGCAGAAGAAGCACCGGCUAACUCCGUGCCAGCAGCCGCGGUAAUACGGAGGGUGCAAGCGUUAAUCGGAAUUACUGGGCGUAAAGCGCACGCAGGCGGUUUGUUAAGUCAGAUGUGAAAUCCCCGGGCUCAACCUGGGAACUGCAUCUGAUACUGGCAAGCUUGAGUCUCGUAGAGGGGGGUAGAAUUCCAGGUGUAGCGGUGAAAUGCGUAGAGAUCUGGAGGAAUACCGGUGGCGAAGGCGGCCCCCUGGACGAAGACUGACGCUCAGGUGCGAAAGCGUGGG